GACAACCUACCCUAUGGAGGGGGAUAACCCCGGGAAACUGGGGAUAAUACCCCAUAGACUAUAGAUGCUGGAAUGCUUUGUAGUUGAAAGGUCCGCCGCCAUAGGAUGGGUCUGCGGCCGAUUAGGUUGUUGUUGGGGUAACGGCCCAACAAGCCUGUAAUCGGUACGGGUUGUGGGAGCAAGAGCCCGGAGAUGGAUUCUGAGACACGAAUCCAGGCCCUACGGGGCGCAGCAGGCGCGAAAACUUUACAAUGCGGGAAACCGUGAUAAGGGACUCCGAGUGCCCGUAAAAUCGGGCUGUCCAUCUGUUUAAAUAACAGGUGAAGAAAGGGCCGGGCAAGACCGGUGCCAGCCGCCGCGGUAAUACCGGCGGCUCGAGUGGUGGCCACUAUUACUGGGCUUAAAGCGUUCGUAGCUGGUCUGUUAAGUCUCUGGGGAAAUCUACUGGCUUAACCAAUAGGCGUUUCAGGGAUACUGGCAGACUAGGGACCGGGAGAGGUGAGGGGUACUCCAGGGGUAGGAGUGAAAUCCUGUAAUCCUUGGGGGACCACCUGUGGCGAAGGCGUCUCACCAGAACGGCUCCGACAGUGAGGGACGAAAGCUGGGGGAGCAAACCGGAUUAGAUACCCGGGUAGUCCCAGCCGUAAACGAUGCGCGUUAGGUGUAUCGGUGACCACGAGUCACCGAGGUGCCGAAGAGAAAUCGUGAAACGUGCCGCCUGGGA
rnacentral:rRNA from 1 species